AGUGAAUAGAGCUUUCCUUCUACAAACCGGUAGUGCUGUUUUGAAAGACCUUUGAUUCAACGUCUAUGGCUUCCGCUCCCCCGGAAAAUAUUAACCGGCCAAUAUUUUCUCCGACGACUCCCCAUUUUUUCAAAAUCAUUCUAGAGGACACUUCCAAAGACAGAAAAUUUGGAAUUCCAAAGAAAUUUGUGAUGAAAUAUGGUGAAGGAAUAUCAAAUCCAGUAUGUCUUAAGCUUCCAAGUGGUUCAGAAUGGAUAGUAGAACUUAGAAGAUGGGAUGGUGAGGUUUGGUUUGACAAUGGUUGGCCAGAGUUUUCCAAAUUUUACUCUCUAGAUUGCGGUCACUGGCUGGUUUUUCGAUAUGAGGGGAAUUCCAAAUUCAAUGUGUGUAUAUUUGAUAAAAGUUGCACGGAGAUUGAAUAUCCAUUAACAAUGCCAAAGAUGGAACUAACUUCUCAUGAUGAAUCUCGUGACAAUUCUGCAAAUGAUUCUAGUGAUGAUUAUGGUGACGAUUUGAGUUACAAGUCCGGUGAUGGUUCUGGUGAUAAUUCUGCUAUGAUCUUAGAUAAAUUUUUACCUUGCCCAAGAAAAACAAGGGAGAAAUCUACAUUGCCAAGUCCUCAGCCUCACAAGAAAAGGAUAACAAGUUGGAGUGGAAAAUGUGAUUUUCCAACCGAAAAAUAUGGAGUCACGUCGUCUAGCACUCCAAGUGGAGAGGUUGUAGCUCUUCGGAGAGCUAUUGCUUUCAAAUCACAAAACCCUUCUUUCAUUGUUGUCAUGAGGCUCAGUUAUAUCAACUCUGGGCUCUUGUGGUUGCCAUCUGAGUUUUGCAAGCUACGUCCUAUUAAGAAAUCCUGUGAGGUCAUUCUUCAAGUUUCGGAUGGGAGAACUUGGACUGUUGAUUUGAGAUAUGAAGAAGGAAAGGCCACAUUCAGGCGUGGUUGGAUGGACAUUGUUUGUGACAAUAAUUUGGAACUUGGUGAUGUGUGUGUUUUUGUGUCAACUAGCAACGUAAAACCCUUAUUUGAUGUUUUCAUUUUCCGCUCUAAAGAAGCGGCCAGUUGUAGCAUUGAUGAGGGAAAAACAGUGCCUAAGAUGGAAGAAUCUGAUCAAGCAGAUGGUGAUUCUGUUCAAAUCUUAGAUGAGGAUUCUACUGAUGACUCUAGUGAUGAGUUUAGUGAGGAUUCUGAUAACAAUUCUAGUAAUGGAUCCAGUGAUGAUUCUUGUGAUGAUUCUUAUGAUAAUUCUGUUGUAAUAUUUGACAAAUUUCCAUCCCACCAAGGAAAAACAAGUAAGAAAUCUUCAUUACCAUGUCCUCAGCCUCAGAAGAAAAGUAGAACAGCUACAAGCGGUAAAGCAGUCUAAAAUCUAAGAUAGAAGUGAAAACGAAAGAACAUAUAUAUGUUUCUACAUAACCAUAUUAUGUUCUUUUAUUCUCUUCUUGUUUGUAAUAUUUUACUUUUUUUACAGGGAAAUAUGAUGUUCCAACUGAAAGUGGAGGCAGUAUAGCCCUUCAGAGAGCUACUGCUUUCAAAUCUCAAAACCCUACUUCUUUUGUUGUUGCCAUGAGUCCUAGUUACAUCAGCUCUUAUUUCUUAUUUUUGCCGUCUGAUUUUCACAAGGUACAUCAUAUCAAAAAGUCCUGUGAAGUCAUCCUUCGAGUUUCAAAUGUGGGAACUUGGCCUGUUGAUUUGAAUUAUUUUUCAGAAGAAAAGAAGGCCAAAUUCGGGCGUGGUUGGAUGGAAGUUGUGCGUGACAAUAAUUUGGAAAGUGGUGAUGUGUGUGUCUUUGUGUCGAUCAACAACAGCGCUAAACCUUUGUUUGAUGUUGUCUUUUUCCGCUCUGGACAAGCUGCAAAGCGUACCGAUAUUGACAGGGAGAAAACAGUGCCAGCUGAGAUGAAAGAAAAUGUUGAUGCAGCUGGUGAUUCUGUUCAAAUCUUGUAGCCU